rnacentral:rRNA from 1 species
CCUACGGGGGGCAGCAGUGGGGAAUUUUGGACAAUGGGCGCAAGCCUGAUCCAGCUAUUCCGCGUGUGGGAAGACGGCCUUCGGGUUGUAAACCACUUUUGUAGAGAACGAAAAGUCUGUUGAUAAUACCGAUAGAUGAUGACGGUACUCUAAGAAUAAGCACCGGCUAACUACGUGCCAGCAGCCGCGGUAAUACGUAGGGUGCGAGAGUUAAUCGGAAUUACUGGGCGUAAAGGGUGUGCAGGCGGUUUUGCAAGAUGGAUGUGAAAGCCCCGGGCUUAACCUGGGAAAGCCAUACAUGACUGCAAGACUAGAGUGCGUCAGAGGGGGGUGGAAUUCCAAGUGUAGCAGUGAAAUGCGUAGAUAUUUGGAAGAACACCGAUGGCGAAGGCAGCCCCCUGGGACGCAACUGACGCUCAUACACGAAAGCGUGGCGAGCAAACAGGAUUAGAUACCCGAGUAGUC